rnacentral:lncRNA from 10 species
UUUUUUUUUUUUUUGUAAGAGGACACAAUCGGAUACACUGUUUUGUUUUGUUCUGUUUACCGAGGUUUUGACUGGAAUGGCAUGCUAUCAGAUGCAGACCCCUUUAAAGAAUCAAAGUUGACUUAUAGAGUUAAUAAAAGCCCCUUGGGAAAGCUGGCCUCAUAUCUUGUCUACACAGUUCCUGUACAGGUUCCUGACCUGUGGUAGGUAAAGAAUGUAACUUUCCGACAGGUCCAGGAGCCCCAUGUUUUCUUAGGACCUAGAGGUGAGGAAUUCAUCCAAUGAAUACGAGUAUUUGCAGGAACAGUCUGGACUUAAGGCAUGAAAGUCAAAUCCGAGAUUGUUUAUGGAAUAAAGUUACAAGAAAGCCAAUUUAAAACAGGAGACUAUAUGGCAAAUAAUUAUUCUUUGUGACUUUGUGCAAAUACUCUGGCCAAGUAUAAUAAAACUAAAACUUAUUUUGCAAAUGAAUUUGUCCUAUGAUUUGUCUUUAAUAAAAUGGGACUAAAGAGAGAGAAUUUGUAUUUCUAAAUAAACUACAGUACACCUGUUGUUAGACUUUAGUCUUGCCUAAUGUUUUUCAAUAUUUAUUAUUUUCUCUAGUUUGGACAGAAUUCUAAAAUUUUUUCUGACUACCAGUCUCCAAAAUAAUGUUUCUUUCCUUUUCUUCUUUUCCUUUUUUUCUCCAUUUUUCCUGAUUUAAAAUCACUAAAAUUUAAGCUGUGCUUUUCUUAAAGCCCUGUGAACCAAAGCUAGACAAAUUAAAUUUCAGAAUAACACUAACCUAUUUAUAUACAUAAGCCACUUUCAUACCUGCUUACUGAUGUAUGAACUUCAGAGUCAUAUGGUCUAUAUAGAUUUUCCAGGAUUGUUCUUUUGUUUGUUAUUUUUAUCCCCUGCUUCCCCUAUUUUCUCUUUGUAAGACAUAAGACUUCACAAUCUGCUCAUUUAUUUAAAAUGAGCUUUCCUAAUAACGUGGGACCUACCCAUCUAGGAAAAAACCAUCCUAGCCAUGAGAGAUCAGACAAAACCUGAGACCAGAGACUCAGUUUUUUUCUAAAAUACUUUCUCUAAAACAUUUUAAAAAGAAAAGGGGAAAAAUGUGAAAGGAAAAUAAGUCUUGGGACCCCAAAAUCACUAAGCUAAAGGGAAAAGUCAAGCCUGGGAACUGCUUAGGGCAAACCUGCCUCCCAUUCUGCUUAAAGUCAUUUCUCUGCUCACUGAGAUAAAUGCACAUCUGAUUGCCUCCUUUGGAAAGUCUAAUCAAAAACUCAAAAGAAUGCAACGCUUUGUCUCCCACGUAUCUAUGACCUGGAAACCCUCUCCCCACUUUCAACUGUCCCACCUUUCCGAACCAAACCAAUGACAUCUUACAUAUAUUGAUUGAUGUCUCAUGUCUCCCUAAAAUGUAUAAAACCAAACUGUGCCCCAACCACCUGGGACACAUGUCAGCAGGACCUCCUGAGCCUGUCACAGGCAUGUUCUUAAUCUUGGCAAAAUAAACUCUCUAAAUGGACUGGGGCCUGUCUCAGAUAUUUGGGGUUCACAAUAGUCUGUUGUAAGUUUUUUGAGAAAUCACCGGACUGCAUUCCAUAGCGGCUGGACUAAUUUACAUACCCACCAACAAUGAAUAAGUAUACCCUUUCCUUUGCAGCCUCACCAGCAUCUGUUGUUUUUGCCUUUUUAAUAAUAGUCAUUCUGCCUUGUGUGAAAUGGUAUCUCAUUGUGGUUUUGAUUUGCAUUUCACUGGGGAUUAGUGAUGAUGAACUUUUUUUAAUGUUUGUUGGCCACUUGGAUGUCUUCUUUUGAGAGGUGUGUGUUCAUGUCCAUUGUCUAUUUUUUUAAAGGAGUUUUUUUGCUUGUUGAUUUAAGUGUCCUAUAGAUUCUAAAUAUUAGGCCUUUUUCAGAUUCAUAGUUUGCAAAUUUCUUCUCCUCUUCUGUAGGUUGUCGUUUACUUUGUUGAUAGCUUUUUUUGCAAUGCAGAAACUCUUGUUUAAUUAGGUUCCACUUAUCUAUUUUUGUUUUACUUGCAAUCACUUUUGGGGACAUAGCCCAGAAUCCUUUGCCAAGAGUUAUGUUGAGAAGAGUAUUUCAUAGACUGUUCCAGGAUUUUAAUAAUUUGAGGGCUUACAUUUAAAUCUCUGAUCCAUUUAUAGUUGAUUUUGUAUAUGGUGCAGUGUGGGGAUUGAGAUUCAAUCUUCUGCAUAUGGCUAGCCAGUUAUCCCAGAACUAUUUAUUGAAUAGAGAGUACUUUUCCCAUUGUUUGUUUUAAUCAGGGUUUAGCAUAUAUUUACUGAUAUGGAUUAGGGCCUCAAUAAAGACAUUUCAUAGAAGGUCUUAAAACAUAACUGUUUCCUGAUUAAUUUUCAAUCUUCUUUCUCUGUUAUUUCAUGAAUUUAUCCUUCAAUAUCAUCUUGAUAAAAGUCUUGACUUGCAGUGAUUCAGAUCAUUUCCCACUGCAUAAAAAAGCAAUUUUCAAGUGCCAUAAAAUAUUCUUCAGGAGCAAUGGAUUUUAAUGUUGAAAAUCAUCUGAGAUUCUGAAUAGCAGAGAAA